UUUACGACAUUGCACUGUAAAUCACUGACAACGACAUCGAAAGCCUCUCUCUCUCUCACACAGAAGAAGAAGAACGGCGACAAGAAGAAGGAGGAGGAGAAGAGGAUCUCGAAGCUUGCUUUCAACUGAAAAAAGAGAAGAAAACAGUGUUUUGUGCUUCUGUCUUUUCACUCUCAAACACGCUUCCUCCAUAUUCCUUUUCCAUUCAUUCUAUACCAAGCUUCCUCCCCUCCAUUUCUAUAAAUCUGCUGUUUUCAAGAUUCCUUUCAGUGUUUAAGCUCUUAGUUCAACGUUUCUUUGGAAAAUGCGCGUUUAAGCGGUGGUUAGGGAGUGUGUUUGAGGCUUAAGUUUUGCUGAUAAUGGCGGGAGAUAUCGAAGAAUCGUAUAGCUUCGGCUUACAGGCAGAUUCUCUGCACUCAGGUUCUAUAUCAUUUGGAAGGUUUGAAAAGGAAUCCUUAUCGUGGGAGAGGAGGUCGUCUUUCUCACAUAACAGAUACCUUGAAGAGGUUGUGAAAUGCUCGAAACCAGGUUCAGUUAUCGAGAAGAAAGCUUAUUUUGAAGCUCAUUUCAAAAAGAAAGGUUUACUUUGUCCGAAUUCAUCUGAGUUCCAUAACGAAAAGGAGUAUCAAACCAGUGAGAAUGAUAGGGAUGAAUCCGGGCAUGUAAAUGAAGGUAGACAUUUUGCUCACUUUGAUGAGAGCCCUGAAGGUUCAGAGUAUCAAGGAGAGUAUGAAGUGACAGUAAACGGAACAGAAAAUCCAGAGGUUCCAUUCUCUGUUCUUCAGAUGGAACCUGCUUUGAACAGUGCUGAUAUUUUGGUUGGUGCUGCUGAAGAUGUUAAUGCUGAGGAAACACAACGAACUGAAACUGGACUUGACGAACUUCUUUCAGUUAAGGAUGAAUCAGAGAUGCAUGGGUUGGACAAUUUUCUCUCAGUUAAUGAUGAACCUGAGAUCAAAGUAAAUCAAACUCUUAAUGAUGAUGCUGUAAAUGCUGAUGAAUCAUCUAAAGCCUCAGUUAAUGACGAACUGGUUAUUGAAGUAAAUCAGAACCUUGAUUGUGACAUUUUCAAUACUGAAAACUCACCAAAAGACAUCGAUCCAUCCCCCAAGACAGGACCCUCUGUGAAAUCAGAAAAAACUCACUCGGAACAUGGGAGGCAUCCUUCUCCAAAGUUGAGGUCUGCAAUGGAAAUCGGAACUUUGAAGCCCAAAGAGAAGUGUCGGGCAAAUCUUGCUCUAGUCCUGACAGAUAUUUCUGGUGCUGCGUCUAAAGAUCCUGCAAAAACUCCAAAUAGAAGAGAAAGAGAGAGUACCCUAAGAACGAAUCUAGAAAAGAAUUCAGUAAAAACUGACAUUCCAACUACACCUGCUAUGCAGAAAUCUCCAAUCUUAGAGGAUUCUAGAAGUCAAAAAGCAAAAUUAAUGCAAGACAAUAAAAGUUGCAGUGGUGAAAAAGAUUCAAGGAGAAAGAAAGUUGGGGAAUAUCGACCUUUUCCAACAAAGGCUGAAACGAGAGGACAUCAAGCACCACACAGGCUCAAUCGUACUGUGAAUUCAACAAAGGCAGAUGUCAGGUCAGGUGCUGCAGCUUUCAGUUUCAAAAGUGAUGAACGGGCAGAAAGAAGGAAAGAGUUCUAUACAAAGUUGGAGCGAAAAAUGCAUGCCAAGGAGGCUGAGAUGAAUCAGGUCCAAGCAAGAACACAGGAAAAGACAGAAGCUGAGAUAAAACAAUUCCGGAGAAGCCUAAACUUUAAAGCAACGCCAAUGCCUUCUUUUUAUCACGCGGCUGUAUCUCCAGGGUCAGAUGGGAAAAAGGCACAAUCAAGUAACAACAAAGUUAAUAAAGCACGAAAUAAGUCAACUAGUCCAGGGAGAAGAGCUGCUGGCAGCUCAAAAUCAUGUUUGAAGGAAGGAAAUGACCAAGCCUUGUCUACCUGUGAAUCGGUAAACACAACUGAACCAAUUGAUGCCUCAGAGGCGACCAAUUGCCCUACAGGUGACUUGGAAGUCACUGCAGCCUCUCAGGCUCCAUAUGGCAACCAAAGCUGUUCUCCAGAAGCUACAGCUGGAAAUGAGAUUUCAGGGAGGAAAGAACGAGUAAAGGAAAGGGAUACUAGUGUGCAUAAAAAUCAUGUGUCGGAAAGUCAUAAGGCGAUGAAAGGCCGAAAAGUUGAGGGGAAGCAGAAAACAGGUGGGCAGAGAAGUAGCAAAGAGAUUGCCAAGAAGGACAUGAAAGGCGUUGGCAUUGGUAGUGGUUCUCAAAUGAGUAAUCUAGCUGUUGGUGUUGCCUCUUGAACACGGAUUCCCCAUCUCCUGAUAUAUGUUCUCCGCCACCUGGUAGGAGGUGUGUCCAUAACACAAAUGUGAGAAUUUAGGAUUGAGGUUAGCAUUUUAAUUCCCUUCAUCAUUAUUGCUGUCAUUAUUUAUGUAUGCUUAGUGUAACGUAAAGAUGUAGCUGGAAUAGAUGACAAUGGUGGAAGUGUUUGAGGAAGAGCAUGAUCUUGCCACCAAAUAUGUGGAAGACAAAUUAGAGUUUUCAGUUUAUUGCAAUAAUCAUAAGAUUUCAUCAUACUGAGAACUAGGAGAAAAGAUGAUUAGGCACUUUUGUGUGGAUCCGGAGAGACUUUUCAUUGGCUUUGAUUCGGCCGAAACGAUCGCAUCUCAUCCAGUUCAG